rnacentral:rRNA from 1 species
GACGAACGCUGGCGGCGUGCUUAACACAUGCAAGUCGAACGGAAAGGCCUGCUUUCCCUUGUGUCUUGCGGGUACUCGAGUGGCGAACGGGUGAGUAACACGUGAGUGAUCUGCCCCCAACUUGGGUAUAAGCCUGGGAAACUGGGUCUAAUUCCCGAUAGGACUGCAGGGUGGUGCCUGUGGUGGAAAACGAUUUUCUAGUGGUAGGGGAUGAGCUCGCGGCCUAUCAGCUUGUUGGUGGGGGAAUGGCCUACCAAGGCGACGACGGGUAGCCGGCCGGGGAGGAGGAGGGGGGACACUGGAAGUGAGACAGGGUCCAGACCCCGACGGCAGGGAGAGGUGGGGGGGGGAGAGCAAGGGGAGGGGGCGUGAGCGAGAGACGGCGCGGGGGUGAGGGAGGUCUCCGGGUUGUGAAGCUAUGUUGUUGGGGAAGAAGAGAAGGCGGUUUGGUUGGAGGGGUGGUGACGGUAGUUAAAGAAGAAGCCCCGGCUAACUACGUG